CGGGAGGAGAAGAGCAAGCUUGCGAGGCGGCGACCGUGGGGGAAUCGACUAGAUCCGCCGCGUGCCCAUCUGGAGGACGGGAACACGGUGACGAGGGCUGGUUCGGUGCGCACCUCCGCCACCGAGCCUCGCAUCGCCGACCACUAUCCCCUCCUCUCACAUGCCGCCACUAUCAAGAUAUAUCGGUGUGCCCCUCCUCACCGUCAAGCCGCAGGUGACGUGUGCUGAUCCCUCACUGAAGAACCGUGCUUUGGAAUGCAAAAAUACGGAAAUGUCUGAAGAGUCAGCUUCGCAAGGAAAGCAUACUUCAAGAACAAAGUGCUCAAUGUGAUAUGGACAUCCAGUCACUCUUGAGUGGUAUUCUACCGAUGUCACAUUUUAAACAUGGUUACAUUUACAAUCACCCUGUAGAACUGUUACAGUUUUGCAGUCAACACUGUCGGCAAGUUUUCCU